rnacentral:misc_RNA from 1 species
UUUGAACUCUCAAAGUUCCUUUCCUUUAAUAGGGUCAGGAUACUUUGGAUCAUGGGUGCUUGCGAGCUAUGGCUUGCUCACUUUAAAUAGAAUGUGGCAUUCUUCUCUAAAGCUGCUGGUGGGCUUGACCUGGAGUGAUAGAAGUCUUUCAAGAUCUCUAGGGAACUGUCUUUUGAUGGUGCCUGCUGUGGUGGGAGGGAGUGUCUGACAGACUUAUUUGACGU